AACAGUUUUUAAAAGUAUUAAUUAUUGUUCUAUACAAUAUUUCACCAAAUAAAAGUUUAUAUGUUAUAUACAUAAUUAUGUUUUUCGAUACCGUUUAGACCAUCUAUUAUUUAGUAAUAAUGACAUUAUUUGAAGCCUAAUUAAAGCAUAGAUAUAAAAAAGGUAUAAAAUUAAACAUUGACUGUUCGAGAUACGGAGUUCAGCAGCCAUACACCAUGAGGAAAAAUAAUUAUUGUAGUGGUUAACAUCCAAUGAAAUAGUAAUAUUUUUUAUUCCAUGAAUUAUGUGAUGAUAAUAUAGAAACCAAGGCUGGGCAUUACGAGACAAUAAGUUAAAA